rnacentral:rRNA from 1 species
CCUACGGGUGGCUGCAGUAGGGAAUCUUUCACAAUGGGCGAAAGCCUGAUGGAGCCACGCCGCGUGCAGGAUGAAGGCCUUCGGGUUGUAAACUGCUUUUAUAAGCGAGAAAUAUGAUGGUAACUUAUGACUAAGGAUCGGCUAACUACGUGCCAGCAGCCGCGGUCAUACGUAGGAUCCGAGCAUGAUCCGGAGUGACUGGGGGUAAAGAGUUGCGUAGGUGUCAUAAUAAGUAGCUGGUGAAAUCUGGUGGCUCAACCAUUCAGACAAUUGGCGAAACUGGUAAGCUCGAGACCGUGAGAGGUAACUGGAAUUUCUAGUGUAGGAGUGAAAUGCGUAGAUAUUAGAAGGAACACCAAUGGCGUAGGCAGGUUACUGGGACGGUACUGACACUAAGGCACGAAAGCGUAGGGAGCAAACGGGAUUAGAUACCCUUGUAGUC